UUCAGUCAAGAGUCAAGAGAAAGAUUGUUGAUGAACAGAAAAGAGCAGAUUUGUGUGCAUUUGUGACCACAAACAUCACUAAAGGAGAAGAAAUGAUGUUCGACUGUGGAGAUCCUGACAUCUCAUGGAGACAGGUAGCAGGAUGCUUGGUCCAUUACAUCCUGACGGAUGGACAA